UCAAUGAAAACACACAGGUCCAGACAAAACACUAAAAUCACUUUAGUAACGGGAGCAAGGGGGUUUUCAGGGAUUACAAGGGAGAAAGAUGUAAAAGGUCAGAAACGGUUAAAACUACAAAAUUAAAACAUGCAUUUUAAAUCCUAAAUAUUACUAAACUAAGGAAGAUGCAAAGCGAACAGAAUUUCCC